CCACGACCAGCAGUCUGGAUGACAAGCCAAAUGUGGGAGAAGCCCAACAUCUCAUCUGGACCAGGACAGAGAAAUCACAGCUCCAUCUGCCAUCCAAUGGUUAGCACACUGAGCCACACAUCAUCUCCUGCAGCAAAGAUUUCUCCAACCUGAACAACAGAUGAGGCUCUACAUGAGGACAAGUAACAGAGGAAGCUAUGGGAAGCAGGCUCUUGAAGAUGCACUUAAAUGCAUCAAAAAUGGCGAAUCACUGAAGUCAGUGUCUCGGAAAAAAACCCUUCGUCAGCGCCGUGACCAGCUGGUGAAGAGGCCAGGCCAUAUGGGGAAAACGGCUGUCUUCUCUGCAACCUUUGAAAAUGAUCUGGUGUGCCACAUCCAAAAUAUGGAGAGAGCUGUGUUUGGGCUAACAUCAUGGGUUGUACGGAAACUGGCCUUUGACCUGGCUACAAGAAUGGGGAUACCAGCCUGUGGUGGCAACAAAAGGGACUUGACAGUUUGGGAGGAUGAUGAGCGUAGAAAGUGGAUUUAAUGUUACCGCUGUGUGCGCGAUGAAUGCUGCAGGGCAGUUUGUUCCUCCGAUGCUAAUCUUCCUGAGAAAGAGAAUGAUUGAGAUCCUGUUGAGAGGGGCACGUCCUGGAUCUAUGGGAAGAGUUUCAGAUUCCGGUUGGAUCGACAGCAGCCUAUUUGUGGAGUGGCUCACCCACUUUGCGAAGAACGUCAACUGCCAGCAAGAAUGAUCCACACUUCCUCAUACUUUGAUGGGCACCACUCACAUAAAACCUUAGAGGCUGUUAAGAGAUCUUGUCAUAAUCAUGAUUUCACUACCGCCCUGCAGGCAUACAAUGCAGCCCCUUGACAGGACCAUUUUCAUUAGCCUGAAGAUGAGCUACAACAAAGUGACCGACUGAUGGAUGACCUAAAACCCUGGGAAGAGGAUUAGCAUCUGUGAGAUUGCUGGCCUUUUUGGUGAAGCCUACAGCCAGGCUGCCAGUGUGGGAAAGAAGGUGGAAGGGUUCAGGGACUGUGGCCUUUUGCCAUGGGACAUUUUUGGAGAAGAGGACUUCAGGGCAGCGGAGGUCACUGUGGAGCCAGAACCUGCCCUGCAGCCUUCUCCACACACCUCCCACCAGAGCUCAUUCCUGAUAAGACAAGAGUUUAAGACAACUAGUGUCAAAAAACUUUCAUAUUUCAGAGGCUACAUGUUUUAUCAACAUUGUUAACACAUCCUGCACAGAGACCACUAAACCUUCAGUGUCAAGUCUCAUCUUGGCACUCUCACCUCAGCCAAAAUUACAACAUGCAAGGACCAGAAAAAGGAAGGCUGAGUCAGCUGCAGUGCUUACAGCCUCAACCUACAGCAGCACUCUGGAGGAGUGUGAGGUAUACUCCCCUCCCUCCUUCCAACAACGCAGCCCCUGGUGGCAAACCUAGAAUCACCUCUGCGAGAAGAAGAAGGGGGCCCUCUUCAGGCCCCCCUGCAAUUCCCAGACCCCAGUUUGAGAACCACGCCUUGUUAUCAGGUGGUUGUCGAUUGUAAUCCCAUUAAAAAUCGAAUCCCAUUAUAGUGCAUUAUAACCCCGGAAUGUGAGAGGUAAGUAUGGCAUUUGAUGUACAACAUAAUAUGGAGCAUUUACAGUAGCAACAAAACCUGUCUGUUUGCCUUGUUGCUCUUUCUCUACACACACACACACACACACACACACACACACACACACAGACAUACAGACACACACAGUGAAAAUGACCAGAGGGUAGCUUCUAUAAGGGCAUGAUACUUUACAUUAGAUUAAAAAGGAAUAGGUUCAUGUUACUGUCAAAAAACCACAUGGCUCUGGUUACAGACAGUAUGUGUGUGUGUGUGUGUGAGAGAGAGAGAGAAUCUAAUCAGCCUUAAAUAAGAAAGGACUUUUCCUGCAUCCCUGCCAAAAAAUGAAUGAACGUGAAUUUGGAACUGAAAAAUUUUGAUUUUGUUAUAAUUUAGCUGUGAGACAAUACAAGCAAGAGCCAGGCUGCAGUGUAAGACAGAUGAUGGAGAGGGAAGUCACGAAGGAAAUAGUAAUAGAAGGGAAAGAGAGAAUGAU